rnacentral:misc_RNA from 1 species
GGUUUUGAUAUGUUUUGUUUGGAAAUGUUGUUAAUAUUGUUAAUUUGAUGUUCGUUGAGUAUUAUAGAACGUUUAGUGUUUUUGGCGAGCGGGUGGAAGUUGGGUUGAGGAGGAGCGUUUGUGUUUUGGUAUAUUUGAUUGUUUGAAUUUAGUUUUUUAGGGAUAUUAGUUGGUAGGGUUUUCGGGUUAUUAUAAAGUAAGUAGGAUA